UCUAAAAGGUGAACUACUGUAACAGUACAGUGUGUUAUAGUGUCUCUAGGAAGUGAACUCCUGUAACAGUUCAGUGUGUUAUAGUGUCUCUAGGAGGUGAACUACUGUAACAGUUCAGUGUGUUAAAUUGUCAAUUGCAGGUGAACUCCUGUAACAGUUUAGUGUGUUAUGGUGUCUCUAUCUAGGAGGUGAACUACUGCAACAGUUCAGUGUGUUAAAGUGUCUCUAUCUAAAAGAUGAACUACUGUAACAGUUCAGUUAGUUAUAGUGUCUCCAGGAGGUGAACUACUGUAACAGUUCAGUGUAUUAUAGUGUCUAUAGGAGGUGAACUACUGUAACAGUUCAGUGUGUUAUAGUGUCUCUAGGAGGUGAACUACUGUAACAGUUCAGUGUGUUAUAGUGUCUCUCCCUAGGAAGUGAACUUCUGUAACAUUUCAGUGUGUUAUAUUGUCUCUAGGAGGU
rnacentral:lncRNA from 1 species